rnacentral:tRNA from 1 species
GGUUGCAUGGUUUAGUGGUUAGCAUAUCUGCUUUACAUGCAGAAGAUCCUGGGUUUGAUCCCCAGUGGAGCCA